GUUGACGUCAGUGUUUCCGGAAAUGAAGCUAAUUAGUCAACUUUGUUUCACAAUCAAGUAAUGAACAAUUACGCUCACAAUCACUCUCAGCAUGGAGGACGUCAUGAACACCAAAGCAGCAAGCAUGGGCCACACAUACAGAAGAGAGGGGGUCUUCAUGUAACACCAGGUGGCUCAGGUUGCACCGUGGGAGACCUUCUCGUCUUACUCCACAGCCUGCCCCCAACCCAACAAAGACACACACCACUAGAACUUACCAGAUGGCACGAAAUGGAGGACCUUUCUGCCUUCCAUGUUGUCUAGGAGUUCAGGUAUGGACUGUGCAGAAUGACCACCGUUACACCAACAAGAGCAGGAUGGAUCUGAGAAUCGUGUACGUGUAACAGUCCUCAAAUUCUGCUGCGAGAGUCAUUAUCACCUUUUAUGGCUUUCAAACUAUGAUUUCAACGCUUUGGUUCUAUGUUUAAAGCGGCUACAAUCAGGAAUCGGACGUUUGGAGUGAAGGGGUGCAUAAUGGUGGUGCAUUUACCUCCUGACUGUACGCUUUUAACAUUUCCAGGCAGCUUUCAGAGAACAAAGUUAAGUGCAACAGCACUUGAAACUUUUUUAAUUAUUAUCAUCUUUGUAGGGAAUUAGAGUUACUUAUUGUCGGAAGUGGAUCAGGGGGAAAAAUGACAACCUGUCACAUAAGCUUCGUUGAAUUCUGUCUU